UCAAGCUUGCUUCACGGACGCGGGAAAAGGCGGUUCUUCGAUCGUAAAAGAUAUAUGUACGCAUAUAUGUAUAUGUGUAUAUAGGUAAUAUGUAGGCAUGUAGGUAGGUAAGUAGGUAGGUAGGUAGGCAGGCAAUAAGCAGUAGACAGAUAAAAGCGAACGAGAUCGUGCACAGACACGUUACACGCGAUUGUUAUUCUCGGGAAAGGAAGAACAGAGACGGAAGGAGAGCGACAAGAAUUAUGCGUUAACGAAUACAACACGGAGAGUAUGACUGCGUUUGAAGACUGGCUUAAGGAUCUCCGAAGAAGCCUCGUCUAGUCCUUACCUACUAGCUCUCCUGGAAUUUCCUUCUCACCCUCGUGAGCGCACAAUCUUCUGCCGUUUCUGAUUCAUAUCAGCUGUUUACGUAGGAUCUGACUCAUUAAAGGCUUAGGGUGACAGUUAACCUCUUUAUGAGGCUCGCAUCGUAAUGUUUACAACUUGGGAAAAGACAAAUGUACGGUUCGAGUUAUAAACAAGGGUUCAUUCAAAAUCUCGAGGAUUAUGAAUUUCUUUGUAUAUACAUAUAAUAAAAA